GACGAACGCUGGCGGCGUGCCUAAUACAUGCAAGUUGAGCGCUGAAGGUUGGUACCUGUACCAACUGGAUGAGCAGCGAACGGGUGAGUAACGCGUGGGGAAUCUGCCUUUGAGCGGGGGACAACAUUUGGAAACGAAUGCUAAUACCGCAUAAAAACUUUAAACACAAGUUUUAAGUUUGAAAGAUGCAAUUGCAUCACUCAAAGAUGAUCCCGCGUUGUAUUAGCUAGUUGGUGAGGUAAAGGCUCACCAAGGCGAUGAUACAUAGCCGACCUGAGAGGGUGAUCGGCCACAUUGGGACUGAGACACGGCCCAAACUCCUACGGGAGGCAGCAGUAGGGAAUCUUCGGCAAUGGACGAAAGUCUGACCGAGCAACGCCGCGUGAGUGAAGAAGGGUUUCGGAUCGUAAAACUCUGUUGGUAGAGAAGAACGUUGGUGAGAGUGGAAAGCUCAUCAAGUGACGGUAACUACCCAGAAAGGGACGGCUAACUACGUG
rnacentral:rRNA from 1 species